AACAAAAAUGCAUUGAGCGGGCAUGUGAUUUCAUGCAAACGUGCGUUGUUAGAGCCACAUGGUAACAUGUAAACAUUAAAUGUCCUACUUCUGAAAUGUGGAAACAUAUUUAAGCAAUGUGUGUAGUUUAUUUUAAAGCAUACCUAAUAGCGUUAGGCAUUUUAAGAAAAUGUGCUAUUUUGAAUAGUUUGAAUAUUUAAACAAUUUAGAUAUAUUUUAGUUGGAUAAUAAUCUCCCUAAUAAAGAAAGCUGAAAUUGUCGUAAUUUGGCAUCAUUCGUUACGAUCCAAAACAUUUUGCUAAUAGUUGUGUGUCACAUAAUUGUCUUCGCAAUUUGUACUGAUUACGAGCAGAAACAUUUUAAAGAAGCAUGUCAUUUAUAUUCGCGGUUGACGCAUCUGUUUACAUUGGAGCAUGUUUCUCACAUAACGCGAAUGCAAUUUACAUGACAUCAUGUUUUAUUCCAACUGUAACACUUAUUUAAACAUCUGCUAAAUUUUUAUAAAGCUAAUAAUUAAGUAAUUUUACAGGUCCAAGUUGAAGGUGUAUCAUGCGGUUGCAAAGUAUAAAAAUGCUUACCACGUCUAUGUUCAAAAUAUUUUCAAAUAAGGAAGUCUACUAUGGGGAUCACAUCAGAAAAUAAUUUCAGUGUUAUGUUUGGUUUUAGAUCCUGUAUUUGGUUGGUAAGACUUGUUAAACCAUCUAAAAUAUUCUAAUUAAUUUUACAGGCCCAGGUUAAAGAAGAAUCAUGCGAUUGCGGAUUUAUAUUCAAAAAUGCUUACCCCAAUUAUGUUUAAAAUAGAUUCGAAUAAGGGCUUCAACUAUGGGGAAUACAUGAGCAAAUAUUUUCAAUAUUACGGAUCAGGUUGAAGAAGAAUCAUGCGCGGGUUUAAAUUGAAAAAUGCUUACCACGGCUAUGUUCAAAAUAGAUUCGUAAAAGGACUUCUAGAAUGGGGCAAAUAUCAAUAAAUCAGUGUCACCUUCACACAUCAGCCAUCUGGCAAAUUAACCUGUCCUCAGUUAUUUUGAAUAACGCCGGAAUGUGCGAUCAAGGUGACACAUUCCUUGGCUUCCAAUUUGUCGCGUUUUGAUGGAAACUAUGCGAUGUUUGAAGCGUUGCAAACAGCCGGGGUCAAAGCUUGUAGUUAUUGCUGUCAACUUUGAUGAUCAAGCUUAAUGAAUAAAAACUCAACAUAUAGCAGCCUCGUUAUCUUCAUUCCUCAUAUUUUA